UACGAAGGGGGGCUAGCGUUGCUCGGAAUCACUGGGCGUAAAGGGUGCGUAGGCGGGUCUUUAAGUCAGGGGUGAAAUCCUGGAGCUCAACUCCAGAACUGCCUUUGAUACUGAAGAUCUUGAGUUCGGGAGAGGUGAGUGGAACUGCGAGUGUAGAGGUGAAAUUCGUAGAUAUUCGCAAGAACACCAGUGGCGAAGGCGGCUCACUGGCCCGAUACUGACG
rnacentral:rRNA from 1 species